rnacentral:rRNA from 1 species
CAAUAGCGUAUAUUAAAGUUGUUGCAGUUAAAAAGCUCGUAGUUGGAUUUCUGGUGGGAACGUUUGGCCGGCCGUAACGGUUUGUGCUGAAAUGUUUUUCGCCAUCCUUGACGAAUACUGGUUCGCCAUUAAGUUGUGUGAGCUUGGAGUCGUCAUCGUUUACUGUGAAAAAAUUAGAGUGUUCAAAGCAGGCUUAUGCCGUUGAAUACAUUAGCAUGGAAUAAUAAGAUAGGACCCUGGUACUAUUUUGUUGGUUUGCGUACCUAGGUAAUGAUUAAUAGGGACAGUUGGGGGUAUUUGUAUUCCAUUGUCAGAGGUGAAAUUCUUGGAUUUAUGGAAGACAAACUACUGCGAAAGCAUUUACCAAGGAUGUUUNCAUUAA